AAGCAGUGGAGGGUGGGGUGGUGGAGAGGGAGAUGCCAUAGCAUCAAAGAGUAUGUGUCAAGGAAUAAAGUAUAAGAAGCCUGGAAAGGUUAGAGUAGGGACUAAAUUAUGAAGAGCUUUGACUCGGACUUUAGGAAAUUUUCCAAAAAGUCUUGAAAUGAAAAGGAGUUUCUCGUUAAGCAUUAGUUACUAACUAGAAAGUUAAAUUAUCCAGAACCUCCAUUCCCUAGACAUUCUACCUAUUUGUGAUUUUAUAGAAUUAUCACUCUUUAGAAACCAAGCAGAAAACACAGGCCUGAGAGAAAUUAGGCUGUUACUAAAAACAGAUGCUAUAUCUGAAAUGAUAAAUCUGUCUCCCCAGUAAGAUGAGACAUGUCUGUGAGUUAUGGUAGAUGACAGACUGAACUUUGAUGAGAAAUCACUCUGUCCUGUUCUCCCUUCCCGAUUAGAUCACCAUCACCUUUACCAUCAUUAAGGCAUAUUCUGUGUCAGCUCAGGGACCAUGUGUGAGUGGGUAAGACUCAUCUGGAAACUGAGAAGGCUAUGGAUAAUCAGUUGAUUUGCAGGGCUCUGGGAUGCUGGGACAACAGAGGAAGGUGCUGGAUGCAUCAGAAAAAAUUUCCAUCGAUUAUUGGACUCUACGUUCUCUGGAUGAUUGGACGUGAAGUGGCUGCUGUCUCCACUGUAAUACUGUAUCACAUGUGGCAGAGAGGUAAAAAAAGGAUGGGAAAAGAACCUCAGAUUUGGCAGUUAAGAAAUCACUGACUGUCUUGGAGAGAACAGUUUAGGUGAGUGGUGAAGUAGAAGACUGUUGCAAGCAGUAGAGAAUAAAGCAGAAAGGGAAAUGGAAUCA
rnacentral:lncRNA from 1 species